rnacentral:rRNA from 1 species
UACGGGGGGGGCAAGCGUUGUUCGGAAUUACUGGGCGUAAAGGGCUUGUAGGUGGCCAACUAAGUCAGACGUGAAAUCCCUCGGCUUAACCGGGGAACUGCGUCCGAUACUGGCAGGCUUGAAUUCGGGAGAGGGAUGUGGAAUUCCAGGUGUAGCGGUGAAAUGCGUAGAUAUCUGGAGGAACACCGGUGGCGAAGGCGGCAUCCUGGACCGAUAUUGACGCUGAUGCGCGAAAGCCAGGGGAGCAAACGGG